rnacentral:rRNA from 1 species
AUACGUAGGUGGCAAGCGUUGUCCGGAUUUAUUGGGCGUAAAGCGAGCGCAGGCGGUCUCUUAAGUCUGAUGUGAAGGCCCCCGGCUCAACCGGGGAGGGUCAUUGGAAACUGGGAGACUUGAGUGCAGAAGAGGAGAGUGGAAUUCCAUGUGUAGCGGUGAAAUGCGUAGAUAUAUGGUGGAACACCAGUGGCGAAGGCGGGUUUUUGGUCUGCAAGUGACGAUGCGGCCGGAAAGCGUGGGGAGCAAACAGGACUGGAUCCCCCGGUAGUCCACGCCGUAAACGAUGAGUUCUAAGUGUUGGAGGGUUUCCGCCCAUCAGUGCUGCAGCUAACACAUUAAGCACUCCGCCUGGGGAGUACGGCCGCAAGGCUGAAACUCAAACGAAUUGACCGGG